CCUACGGGUGGCAGCAGUGAGGAAUAUUGGUCAAUGGACGAGAGUCUGAACCAGCCAAGUAGCGUGAAGGAUGACUGCCCUAUGGGUUGUAAACUUCUUUUAUAAAGGAAUAAAACGAGGCACGUGUGCCUUUUUGCAUGUACUUUAUGAAUAAGGAUCGGCUAACUCCGUGCCAGCAGCCGCGGUAAUACGGAGGAUCCGAGCGUUAUCCGGAUUUAUUGGGUUUAAAGGGAGCGUAGAUGGGUUGUUAAGUCAGUUGUAAAAGUUUGCGGCUCAACCGUAAAAUUGCAAUUGAUACUGGCAGUCUUGAGUACAGUUGAGGUAGGCGGAAUUCGUGGUGUAGCGGUGAAAUGCUUAGAUAUCACGAAGAACCCCGAUUGCGAAGGCAGCUUACUAAACUGUGACUGACAUUGAUGCUCGAAAGUGUGGGUAUCAAACAGGAUUAGAUACCCUUGUAGUC
rnacentral:rRNA from 1 species